GCCCCUGUAGCUCAGUUUGGAUAGAGCAACGGUUUCCUAAACCGUGUGCCGCCCGUUCAAGUCGGGCCAGGGGCG
rnacentral:tRNA from 1 species